GCAGAGGUAUCGAAGUGGUCAUAACGAGGCGGUCUUGAAAACCGUUUGGGUUAACGCCCGCGUGGGUUCGAAUCCCACCCUCUGCG
rnacentral:tRNA from 1 species